GUUUACGAGGACCGUCCCUCCAGGAAGACACCAACCGACGCCGCCUCCUGCUCCUCCCGCCUCGUCGCUGAGGGCCGUCCUGGAGAACAGUCCACGAUCCACCGCUUUCAUCGGACGCUGCCCGAUCACGCGUUAGGCUACUAUUCAGCGAGCGGGUUUAGCCUCUUCAGCACCCGGUAGCCUCACGCUACCCGCUGCCUUUGCAUAGCUAGGUUGACUCCGCAAGUCUUUUUUGUUGUUGUUUUCGUUAUCCCGGGUCCAUUUACAUUCCGCUGCUCGUCCUGCUCCGCAUCCAGAGAGAGGACACACAUCGAGAUUCAGACAACGUGCCCGCACGCCGUAAACGACGAGAGCCUGAAAUCAGCAGCGAGCAAGACUGAAAAGGACCGGAGGGGUUGAAACCAAUUCUGAUUUGGGAUUUCAGAAAUACAAGGUUUACUGGACUUCGGGCGAGAAAUCCAUCAACGACACACAAACAGUCAUUUGAUCAUGACAUAGAAAA